rnacentral:rRNA from 1 species
GUGGGGAAUCUUGCACAAUGGGCGAAAGCCUGAUGCAGCCAUGCCGCGUGUGUGAAGAAGGCCUUCGGGUUGUAAAGCACUUUAAGUGGGGAGAAAAGGGUAGUCGUUAAUAGCGGCUAUCUGUGAUGUUACCCACAGAAUAAGCACCGGCAAACUUCGUGCCAGCAGCCGCGGUAAUACGAAGGGUGCGAGCGUUAAUCGGAAUUACUGGGCGUAAAGAGCACGUAGGCGGUUUGAUAAGCGGAAUGUGAAAUCCCCGGGCUUAACCUGGGAACUGCAUUCCGAACUGUCAGGCUAGAGUAUGAUAGAGGUGAGCGGAAUUUCCUGUGUAGCGGUGAAAUGCGUAGAUAUAGGAAGGAACAUCAGUUGCGAAGGCGGCUCACUGGAUCAAUACUGACGCUGAGGUGCGAAAGCGUGGGUAGCGAACAGGAUUAGAAACCCCUGUAGUCC